rnacentral:rRNA from 1 species
GACGAACGCUGGCGGCGUGCCUAACACAUGCAAGUCGAACGGGACCAGGGGCAACUCUGGUUCAGUGGCGGACGGGUGCGUAACACGUGAGGAACAUGACCUUGGCGGGGGAGUAGCCGGCCCAACGGCCGGGUAAUACCGCGUACGACCACAUGGGGACAUCCCUGAGUGGUGAAAGCAGCAAUGCGCCGAUGGAGUGCCUCGCGGCCUAUCAGCUAGUUGGUGAGGUAACGGCNCACCAAGGACGACGAC